GUCUAUGGCCAUGCUACCCUGAACAAGACCGAUCUGGUCUGACCUUGGAAGCUAAGCAGGGUCAGGCCUGGUUAGUACUUGGAUAGGAGACCACCUAGGAAGACCAUGUGCCGUAGGCA
rnacentral:rRNA from 1 species